UACGGAGGGUGCGAGCGUUAAUCGGAAUUACUGGGCGUAAAGCGCACGCAGGCGGUCUGUUAAGCUAGAAGUGAAAGCCCCGGGCUCAACCUGGGAAGGCCUUUUAGAACUGGCAGACUAGAGUCUUGGAGAGGGGAGUGGAAUUCCACGUGUAGCGGUGAAAUGCGUAGAUAUGUGGAGGAACAUCAGUGGCGAAGGCGACUCCCUGGCCAAAGACUGACGCUCAUGUGCGAAAGUGUGGGUAGCGAACAGG
rnacentral:rRNA from 1 species